GAUAAACGCUGGCGGCGCACAUAAGACAUGCAAGUCGAACGAACUUAAUACCUUGCUUGCAAGGUAAGCGGUUAGUGGCGGACUGGUGAGUAACACGUAAGAAAUCUGCCUAUCAGAGGGGAAUAACAGUGAGAAAUCAUUGCUAAUACCGCAUAUGCCAUAGGAAUCGCAUGAUUGUAGUGGGAAAGGAGUAAUCCGCUGAUAGAUGAGCUUGCGUCUGAUUAGCUAGUUGGUGGGGUAAAGGCCUACCAAGGCGACGAUCAGUAGCCGGACUGAGAGGUUGAACGGCCACAUUGGGACUGAGAUACGGCCCAGACUCCGACGGGAGGCAGCAGUCGGGAAUAUUGCGCAAUGGAGGAAACUCUGACGCAGUGACGCCGCGUAUAGGAAGAAGGUUUUCGGAUUGUAAACUAUUGUCCAUAGGGAAGAUAAAAGACUGUACCUAUGAAGAAAGCUCCGGCUAACUACGUGCCAGCCGCCGCAGUAA
rnacentral:rRNA from 1 species